UGAACGAUGACCACUUCGGUGGGGAUUAGUGGCGAACGGGUGAGUAACACGUGGGCAAUCUGCCCUGCACUCUGGGACAAGCCCUGGAAACGGGGUCUAAUACCGGAUACUGACCCGCUUGGGCAUCCAAGCGGUUCGAAAGCUCCGGCGGUGCAGGAUGAGCCCGCGGCCUAUCAGCUUGUUGGUGAGGUAAUGGCUCACCAAGGCGACGACGGGUAGCCGGCCUGAGAGGGCGACCGGCCACACUGGGACUGAGACACGGCCCAGACUCCUACGGGAGGCAGCAGUGGGGAAUAUUGCACAAUGGGCGAAAGCCUGAUGCAGCGACGCCGCGUGAGGGAUGACGGCCUUCGGGUUGUAAACCUCUUUCAGCAGGGAAGAAGCGAAAGUGACGGUACCUGCAGAAGAAGCGCCGGCUAACUACGUGCCAGCAGCCGCGGUAAUACGUAGGGCGCGAGCGUUGUCCGGAAUUAUUGGGCGUAAAGAGCUCGUAGGCGGCUUGUCACGUCGGUUGUGAAAGCCCGGGGCUUAACCCCGGGUCUGCAGUCGAUACGGGCAGGCUAGAGUUCGGUAGGGGAGAUCGGAAUUCCUGGUGUAGCGGUGAAAUGCGCAGAUAUCAGGAGGAACACCGGUGGCGAAGGCGGAUCUCUGGGCCGAUACUGACGCUGAGGAGCGAAAGCG
rnacentral:rRNA from 1 species